rnacentral:rRNA from 1 species
GAUGAACGCUGGCGGCGUGCCUAAUACAUGCAAGUCGAGCGAACAGAUAAGGAGCUUGCUCCUUUGACGUUAGCGGCGGACGGGUGAGUAACACGUGGGUAACCUACCUAUAAGACUGGGAUAACUUCGGGAAACCGGAGCUAAUACCGGAUAAUAUUUCGAACCGCAUGGUCCGAUAGUGAAAGAUGGUUUUGCUAUCACUUAUAGAUGGACCCGCGCCGUAUUAGCUAGUUGGUAAGGUAACGGCUUACCAAGGCGACGAUACGUAGCCGACCUGAGAGGGUGAUCGGCCACACUGGAACUGAGACACGGUCCAGACUCCUACGGGAGGCAGCAGUAGGGAAUCUUCCGCAAUGGGCGAAAGCCUGACGGAGCAACGCCGCGUGAGUGAUGAAGGUCUUCGGAUCGUAAAACUCUGUUAUUAGGGAAGAACAUACGUGUAAGUAACUGUGCACGUCUUGACGGUACCUAAUCAGAAAGCCACGGCUAACUACGUG